AAAUGAAUAGACGGGGGCCCGCACAAGCGGUGGAGUAUGUGGCUUAAUUCGAUGCAACGCGAAGAACCUUACCUGGCCUUGACAUGCUUUGGACCGGCGCUGAAAGGCGCUUUUCCCUUCGGGGACCGGAGCACAGGUGCUGCAUGGCUGUCGUCAGCUCGUGUCGUGAGAUGUUGCGUUAAGUCGCGCAACGAGCGCAACCCCUGUCCUUAGUUGCCAGCAUUCAGUUGGGCACUCUAGGGAGACAAACCCUCUUUGAGGGUGGGAAGGUGGGGAUGACGUCAAGUCAGGAUGGCCCUUACGGCCAGGGCUGCACACGUACUACAAUGCCCGAUACAGAGGGACGCGAUACCGCGAGGUGGAGCUAAUCCUGAAAAUCGGGCCCAGUUCGGAUUGUAGUCUGCAACUCGACUACAUGAAGUUGGAAUCGCUAGUAAUGGCGCAUCAGCUACGGCGCCGUGAAUACGUUCCCGGGCCUUGUACACACCGCCCGU
rnacentral:rRNA from 1 species